GCCCUUAUAGCUCAGUGGUAGAGCGCAUCACUAGUACGUAAUUAAGUUGCUUACGUAACAAUUACGUAAUCAUUACGUAAUGAUGAGGUCCUCUGUUCGAUCCAGGGUGAGGGCA
rnacentral:tRNA from 1 species